GCCAUGGAAAGAAUGAAAACACGCGGGCUGUGUUACACAGCCCUCCUUGCUUGAAGCACAUUAAGCUGCACAAGCAACAGUCUGGAGCUGACAGAAGCCUUACUAAGCACAUGGCUGCUGAAACAACAGAACGUGCCACCAGCCCUACUCUUUUCACUCUGUGACGUUCUCAGUUUCUAGGCUAGGAUGGAGGAGGACUGUGCCCAGGACAGAUGCCUGCAGGAGCAGGGAGAGUUACAGAGAACCUUGAGGGCAUUUCCUGCCACUCAGCAUUCCAGUAACUGUCACAGGGAUGGAUAACUGUGGAACAGGAUCACAAGAUGUAGCAGCAAGGAGCGAGAUGUGAACUCAUCACCUGUACCAACCAGAACUAGAUCUAAAAACA